GACGAACGCUGGCGGCGUGCUUAACACAUGCAAGUCGAACGGAAAGGCCCUGCUUUUGUGGGGUGCUCGAGUGGCGAACGGGUGAGUAACACGUGAGUAACCUGCCCUUGACUUUGGGAUAACUUCAGGAAACUGGGGCUAAUACCGGAUAGGAGCUCCUGCUGCAUGGUGGGGGUUGGAAAGUUUCGGCGGUUGGGGAUGGACGCGCGGCUUAUCAGCUUGUUGGUGGGGUAGUGGUUGACCAAGGGUUUGACGGGUAGCCGGCCUGAGAGGGUGAACGGGCACAUUGGGACUGCGAGACGGACCAGAGGCGUACGGGAGGCAGCAGUGGGGAAUAUUGCACAAUGGGAGGAAGCCGGAUGAAGAAGCGCUGCGUGCGUGAUGACGGUCUUCGGGUUGUAAACCGCUUUCGCCUGUGACGAAGCGUGAGUGACGGUAAUGGGUAAAGAAGCACCGGCUAACUACGUG
rnacentral:rRNA from 1 species